GGGCUUGACAUCCCACGAACCUGCCCGAAAAGGUGGGGUGCCCGCAAGGGAGCGUGGAGACAGGUGGUGCAUGGCUGUCGUCAGCUCGUGUCGUGAGAUGUUGGGUUAAGUCCCGCAACGAGCGCAACCCUCACCCCUAGUUGCCACCGGGUUAGGCCGAGCACUCAAGGGGAACUGCCAGCGUCAAGCUGGAGGAAGGCGGGGAUGACGUCAAGUCAUCAUGCCCCUUACGCCCUGGGCUACACACGUGCUACAAUGGCCAGUACAAAGGGACGCGAGGCUGCGAAGUGGAGCUAAUCCCAAAAAGCUGGUCUAAGUUCAGAUUGCAGUCUGCAACUCGACUGCAUGAAGGAGGAAUCGCUAGUAAUCGCGUAUCAGCCCGGCGCGGUGAAUACGUUCCCGGGCCUUGUACACACCGCCCGUCACACCACGAAAGCUGUCUGUACUCGAAGUCGCUGAG
rnacentral:rRNA from 1 species